ACUUCCAAGAUAUAUAGAGACUGGUAGGCGCGCUUAUACCUGUAAAAUUUGACGCCAAAUGCGGCGCUAGGUAAACUCAAUCCAUAGAUGGCGCCAGGGUGAUCAGUGUACUUCAAAUGAAUGUCAUUUAAAUUGUUUUAGGUUAUGAUGUUAUGACCAAAAAUUUUGUACUUAGCGACUUGGUGUGGUUUGGCAUCUACAGUGUGUUAUACCUAGUUAUUAUUGCAAACAAUUUCGGUAAAUAAAAUAGACAAGUAGGUACUAAUUGGAUGUAUAAGCAAGCAAACUUGCACUUCGCACUGUUCACUUUGCUAAAGUUAAAAGUUACAGAGGAAUGGGGGAUUCCACUGAAAAGGAUACUCGUUAUCACAGUAAAUAGUAGCGCAAUACCUGCAUUACUGACUUCUCACCUCGCCUAGCUGUCGGAGCUUGUACUGGAUCAAGCGAAGUCAACAGGUCAUUGAUCAAUGUAAACCAUGUGAACAAACCAGGAGCCACCCUUCGUAUAUUAAGAGAAGCAUCAAAUGACCCUCACCUACACAAUCUACGGUGUAAGCAAUCAUGCCGAGAGAUAGAUUCUCGGCUGCUGAGAUGUGGAUUAGAGGAACUAGCAAAAGUCUACAUUAUUACUGUUAAGAUGGAAGGUAGGGGACCCGACUUGUUCAACCUACCUUGUUAUUUUAUAACUUAAUCUCGGAAGCUCCAGGGAUCUAAAUUCUUGAUAGAAGGGGACUAGUGCAAUAACUUUAACCAACUUCCGUUCCAGGAGUGUGGCAGUGCUGGAGGCUGAACUACAAAACGGAAGUAGGAAAAUGUGGCUUAUCCUAACCUUAGUCAACUUCCCAUCUAACGCCUCUGCAAAACGACCAACUUCGGACUUCAGAAGAAUGACAAUCACUCCCAUCACAGUGUGUGGGAAACACAACUACACUACACUUCUGCACAGCUUCCUUGCUGUCGGUCUCAUGCCGAGUACAAUUACUUAGUUGUCGCUCUCCUACUUUCCAUGGAAAUUUAAAAUAAAGAUGCGUUAAAACAUA